CCUACGGGGGGCAGCAGUAGGGAAUCUUCCACAAUGGGCGAAAGCCUGAUGGAGCAACGCCGCGUGGGUGAAGAAGUAUUUCGGUAUGUAAAGCUCUAUCAGCAGGGAAGAAAAUGACGGUACCUGACUAAGAAGCCCCGGCUAACUACGUGCCAGCAGCCGCGGUAAUACGUAGGGGGCAAGCGUUAUCCGGAUUUACUGGGUGUAAAGGGAGCGUAGACGGCGAUGCAAGCCAGAUGUGAAAGCCCGGGGCUCAACCCCGGGACUGCAUUUGGAACUGUAUAGCUGGAGUGUCGGAGAGGCAGGCGGAAUUCCUAGUGUAGCGGUGAAAUGCGUAGAUAUUAGGAGGAACACCAGUGGCGAAGGCGGCCUGCUGGACGAUGACUGACGUUGAGGCUCGAAAGCGUGGGGAGCAAACAGGAUUAGAUACCCUAGUAGUC
rnacentral:rRNA from 1 species